UACGUAGGUGGCGAGCGUUGUCCGGAUUUACUGGGCGCAAAGAGCGCGCAGGCGGUCGUGCAAGUCGCGUGUGAAAGCCCCCGGCUCAACUGGGGAGGGUCACGCGAUACUGCUCGACUCGAAGGCAGGAGAGGGAAGCGGAAUUCCCGGUGUAGUGGUGAAAUGCGUAGAUAUCGGGAGGAACACCAGUGGCGAAGGCGGCUUCCUGGCCUGUUCUUGACGCUGAGGCGCGAAAGCUAGGAGAGCAAACGGG
rnacentral:rRNA from 1 species